UACGUAGGGAGCAAGCGUUGUUCGGAUUUACUGGGCGUAAAGGGCGCGUAGGCGGCGCGGUAAGUCACUUGUGAAAUCUCUGAGCUUAACUCAGAACGGCCAAGUGAUACUGCAGUGCUAGAGUGCAGAAGGGGCAAUCGAAAUUCUUGGUGUAGCGGUGAAAUGCGUAGAUAUCAAGAGGAACACCUGAGGUGAAGACGGGUUGCUGGGCUGACACUGACGCUGAGUGCGCGAAAGCCAGGGGAGCAAACGGG
rnacentral:rRNA from 1 species